UGGCGGCGAUAGCGCGGUGGUCCCACCUGACCCCAUGCCGAACUCAGAAGUGAAACGCCGUAGCGCCGAUGGUAGUGUGGGGGUCUCCCCAUGCGAGAGUAGGGAACUGCCAGGCA
rnacentral:rRNA from 1 species